rnacentral:lncRNA from 1 species
AAAACUACUACCACCAGCAACAAAAGUUACUCCAUCAACUAGAAAAGCUACUACCACCGACUACAAAAGCUACUACCGCCAGCAAGAAAAGCUACUAUCCCUAACUACAAAAGCUACUACCAUACAUAAUAAAAUCUACUACUACCAAGUAAUACAAAAUAUACUAUUACAGUGUCAAAAAUAUACUAUCGUAAUGACAAAAAUAUACUACUACUGUGUUGGAAAUAUACUAUCAUAACCAUAACCAGUCAAUUGUGAGCUUGUUGAGCGUUGAGCAUGUCAAGAGGACGGUUCCAUUCUCGGUAGAGCCUUCGUUUCCCGACGCCGUCGAUGCCAGCAACGACGGGUUUAUCUGGAUCGGAUCUAGAGGUGAAGGCGCUAGAUGGUUGAGCGGAUCAAAUCAUAAGGCGUCAUCGUCGAUCUGGAGGCUUCAUCGUUGGGCCGGCGACGUCGAGGUCGAAUCAGAACACGUCAAGGUCAAAUCAGAAGAGGCCGAGGUUAAGGCCGAAUUAGAAGUCUGGAUCGGAUCUAGAGGUGAAGGCGCUAGAUGGUUGAGCGGAUCAAAUCAGAAGGUGUCAUUGUCGAUCCGAAGGCUUCGUCGUUGGGCCGGCGACGUCGAGGUCGAAUCAGAAGAGGCCGAGGUUGAGGCCGAAUUAGAAGUCGUCGUUGAUGGAAUUAGACGCAGUCGAGGCGUCAACGUCAAGCUGGCAGCGUCGAGGUCGAGGUCGAGGCGUCGUCAUCGUCGUCAGAGUAGCAGAUCGGCGCCGAGCUAUCAUCGUCGAGUCAGUGUUGGCCUGAGACGCCGCCAUGGCCGGAGAUUCAAGAUCGGAGAAGAGAGGGAGGAGGAAGACGAUGAGCCAGAGAGAGAGAGAGAGAGAGAGAGAGAGAGAGAGAGAGAGAGAGAGAGAGAGAGAGAGAGAGAGAGAGAGAGAGAGAGAGAGAGAGAGAGAGAGAGAGAGAGAGAGAGAGAGAGAGAGAGAGAGAGAG